UGGCAUCAGCCACAUUCAGAUGGUGCUUAUUACAUGCUACCAGCACGGGAGCCAGUAGGGGGUGGGGUGAGCAUUGACCACAUUCGGAUGGUGCUUUGUAUAUACAUAUAUACAAAUCAGGGAAUCAGGGUUCGAUUCCGGAGAGGGAGCAUGCAAAAUGGCUACCACAUCCAAGGAAGGCAGUAGGUGCGCAAAUUACCCACUCCCGGCACGGGGAGGUAGUGA
rnacentral:ncRNA from 1 species